UAACACUGAAUGGAGGACCGAACCGACUUACGUUGAAAAGUGAGCGGAUGAACUGAGGGUAGCGGAGAAAUUCCAAUCGAACCUGGAGAUAGCUGGUUCUCUCCGAAAUAGCUUUAGGGCUAGCCUCAAGUGAUGAUUAUUGGAGGUAGAGCACUGUUUGGACGAGGGGCCCCUCUCGGGUUACCGAAUUCAGACAAACUCCGAAUGCCAAUUAAUUUAACUUGGGAGUCAGAACAUGGGUGAUAAGGUCCGUGUUCGAAAGGGAAACAGCCCAGACCACCAGCUAAGGUCCCAAAAUAUAUGUUAAGUGGAAAAGGAUGUGGCGUUGCCCAGACAACUAGGAUGUUGGCUUAGAAGCAGCCAUCAUUUAAAGAGUGCGUAAUAGCUCACUAGUCGAGUGACACUGCGCCGAAAAUGUACCGGGGCUAAACAUAUUACCGAAGCUGUGGAUUGUCCUUUGGACAAUGGUAGGAGAGCGUUCUAAGGGCGUUGAAGCAUGAUCGUAAGGACAUGUGGAGCGCUUAGAAGUGAGAAUGCCGGUGUGAGUAGCGAAAGACGGGUGAGAAUCCCGUCCACCGAUUGACUAAGGUUUCCAGAGGAAGGCUCGUCCGCUCUGGGUUAGUCGGGUCCUAAGCUGAGGCCGACAGGCGUAGGCGAUGGAUAACAGGUUGAUAUUCCUGUACCACCUAUA
rnacentral:rRNA from 1 species